GUUCAUUCAAAACAAUAAAACGUAGAAUGAAAUGGGUCGAGAAUCAUUUUCAUCAUUUUCAUUUUCUGAACAACAUUAACAAAAUGGGAUACCUACAUAAUGCAGCAAGCAAAACACAGCAGCUCCAAGCAGUUGUUCGAUUUAUCCUAUGGGCGGAUUUCCCCAAAUAUUUUAAUUUCGAAGGAGAAAUUAAUAAAAAUGCAGCAGUUGCAGAUGAAAACGACAGUAUGUAUUUGUCGAAGCUCGUAAAAAUGAUAUGUAGCCUAAGCACAUUCGAAAGCUAUGCGUGGUCACGGUAAUAUGAAGAGAACCGUCACAAUAACGGUUACAUAAAAGUGCUUGGAGUUGUGCGGUUAUCAAAUUGUAUGCUAACGUUCCGGUUCUGCAUUUCCAUUCCAACGUAUCUAACGGAAUGCUGAUAGCGCAACAAUUGAAGAUUAUUAAAAUUGAUGCAAGGUUAAUUCCUGCGAACGUGAGUAAACACCAGCUUUUGACUGAAGUUGCGUAUUUCAAUACAUAAAAAGUAACAACCACCAGCAUCAUUAGGUAGAUUGACUAACGGAUCGUAUAGACUGUGACUUUCAACAAAGUCCCCGGAUAUUGCCCUUCAAUGGAGGUCUAAAUUUAAAGCUCUUACCAAGGAAUGUACGUAUUGAAAAUUGGAGUGAUUGCGAUGGCAAUUUGUUAUCCCAUUCGCACCAAACAAACACAGUUUAUUUGUGCAAUAAUAUACUAAGAUGUUUUUAUUGUGAAACUCGCAAAAGUUUCCCGAAACAGGACGAGCGGUCAGCAAUUUAUUGAUUGUUUCGUUCUUCCCGACAGUACGCAGAUUUCCAGAGGAUGUCACGGUUUGAUAUAAUGGAACGAUCGGUAGAAAAUCAAACAAAGUAGUAAUAAAUUUAAAUCUCAAAAUAGCCAUGCAUGUAUU